rnacentral:rRNA from 1 species
GCCAUACCACCCUGGACACGCCCAAUCUUGUCUGAUGUGGGAAGCCACACAGGGUCAAGCCUGGUUAGUACUGGGAUGGGGCAAGUAUUCUCAGGCAGGAGCUCAGGACCAGGCU